rnacentral:lncRNA from 1 species
ACAGGAGGUGGAGCUCAAGUGGUAAUGCUCACUUGCCUGCCCACUGUUCACCUCUUGCUAUGUGGCCCAGGUGGGGACCCUUGCUCUAGGCUAUCUGAUUCAAAUGGUUUUCUUUAUAUAGAUACUCUUAUUUUUUGAUUGAUGAUUUUUCUAUCUAAAUAACUUAGAUUGUUAUAAACAAAAGCAUUUUUUAUUGAGAUAUAAAUCCCAUACUAUAAAAUUCACCCUUUAAAAGUGUAUAAUUCAGUGGUUUUUAGUAUAUUUGUGCAACCAUCACCCAUAUCUGAUUCCAGAACAUCAUCAUCCUCAAACCCUGGAAGAAGCAUUAUUUUUACAACUUAAUUUUACAUCUAUGUAGAUUGGCAUUCUCUCCCUAAAAUUAACCUCAAUCCUGAUUUUAUAGUAAGUACUUCUUACAGUUUUAUCACCCAGAUGUACAUUUCCGGACACCAUUAUCCCUGUGGCCCCCUCUUCCUCUACACUUUUGAGUCUGUCUUUAUAAGUGCCCCUUCCUCUUCCUAACAGUUUAUUUGUUGAAGAACCUGUAGGAUUUUCCACUUUGGGAAUUUCAUGAUUCUGUAUUCAUGCUAUAAUUUAAGAAAAGUAUUUUUCAAUAUAGAAAAGUAAUCAGGAUUCUACUUUAAAUACCCAAAAUAAAACUUGUUUCUGUUAAAUAUAUUUCUGUAUUUAUGGUAGAGAAAAAAAGGUGUAUGGACACUUAGAUCUGUUCUUUAUGCAACUCCUUGACAAAUAAUCAUGAAUGUUCCAAAUUAGUCCCAA